rnacentral:lncRNA from 1 species
UACCACCACCACUCCCCCUCCUCCUGGGAUGGUGAUUCCAGGGCCAGGCGGCAGGCUAUAACUAGCGCCCUUCCAGGUGGAACCCGCCAGAGCCCCGAGGCAGCCUAGGAUUUUCUGAGAUCAGACACACUUGGGCCGGGUUGGGAGGAACUGGCAGGAAAAGGACUGAACCCUUAAUGUCAGGCGGUUUUGAAGCACCUGGGGCAAGCUAUGGAAAUCCCCACAGGAAGGCUCACGCAGUCUCUUAGGCGGCUGCCCUCCACCUGCCACGUUCUUUUUGAUUGACUAAAAAACGCUGAAUGAAGAACGAAGUCGCGUGGAAACCCUCGCCGCGCGCCUGCAGCGGACAGCGCAGCCCGGGAGGUUCGGCUGCCGACUUGCGCCCGGGGGCUGCGCUGCGAGCGGCCACGCAUGGCGGCUGGACCCGGGCGGCCGCAAGGGCUUGGCUGGGCCGCGGGAGGCGGGAGGUUCUUCGUCCUCCCGAGCCAUCUCCCUGAACUGACAAGCAGGACUCCCGGGUCCAGGGGGCACAGGGCCCGGGGCGGUGACCCGGCGGAUCGGGCUGCCGGAGGAGCCCACUGUAAAUGCCGCAACUGGCCCCAAACACUGCGUUCCUGGACUGCACCAGCAGCUCCUGGCGCGGCCGCAGAGUUGGUGGAUAUUUUCCAAGGGGGAAAAAAAUCUUUUAAAUGCCAUCUGUUUACUUUAAAAAUGUUGAUUACUUAAGAAAAACGAAUGGAUGUCUGGGCAAAGGUAUGGACGUCACAAUUAUUUUGAAGGCGUCCUUUUUAACUUUAAACAGACCACGCCAGGAGGAGACUGCUGACCCAGAGCGCAUUACCUAAAAUCUGGUACCCAGAGUGCACCCUUCGCCCUCGUUGGAGUUCUCUCCUCUCUGCCAAGCUUUGCUCCGUGCCAGAGGUGUGCUCCAUUGUACCUCCGCUCUGUCCCUGCAGUCAGGCAACCAAUUGGAGAAGAGUAUAAAUAGUAAUUAACCAGGGAGAGUUGUAAUUCAGAAACCUAGUUAAAACAAGUCCUCAAAAACUAGAGAAUAUGAGAGUGGGGAGACAUUUUGAAGGCAUUAAGAACAAAAAACGAUGGGGACGAAUGGUUGAGUCUGAGGAUCAGCAUCGUAAUCUGUUAGAGAACGAGGUCGUGGCUGUGUCUGUGAGUCGUUAAUGGGUUUAAUCGGUUGAUACACAGCCUGCUAGUGGCCUAACCAGUAACCCAGGGCCUGGCAGAUUUGCAUGACAUCUCGGAGUUUGAUUGCUCUUCCUUCCACUUGGCAAAAGGAGACACCAUCAGCCGGAUCAGGAGGGGUCAUGGUGAGAUGGAACCCACCGAGGUGGUGUACAGAGCUGGCGCUGCCAAUGGCCAGAGUGGCAGCCUUUCUACCUCCUUAACCCUGCAAAAAUCAAACGUGCUAGUACGCACUGUCCAUCCACACUGGAACUCCAGUUGGUUUUAGUCUGCGAUGAUGACUCUUCUGGGUUGACUUUUCCAGUUCAUUAUGCAGCCCUCUUGAAGCAGGCCUCCCAAACUUAGCAGACACCAAUGAGAACCUCACAAAGAGGCUCAUCAAGCAGGCUGGUGAAACUGGGUGUUACUUCCUGUUCCAUGGGUACCCCAUAGUGUUUGGGAAACACCGGGCUGUGGUUCAGGAGAAUUUCACAUAUGCUAAGAUGGAGAAAGAACCUGCCCUUUACAUUUAGGCUUGGGAUGUUAAUUUAAAGUUUGAAUGACCAAAAAUUAAAUCUGUAACUUUUAAAGUUUCUCUUUGUGAUUUUACUUAAGUGUUGGUAGAUAUUCUUAAAUUGUAAUGACCUCAGUUUGGGAAUUAAGUUAGCCAAAUAUUGUGUAAUUAUUGUUUGUUAUACAAAAAUAUGCCUUAGACUGUACAGCGGCAGAAACUCCCUCUACCACCUCGGUCCCCCUUUCCAUUCUGCGUUAUACAAAAUAAGCUGACACGUUAAUGCUGUGGCCCACAUUAAACAAAGUAUACCGUA